UGAAUGUAUAAAAUGGGGCACUAAUCUCAAAACACUUGAUUAAUUAGGAAAAUGGCUGCCACUUUGUUUCUGGCUUUUCUUUGUUUUUCUCAAGUUAUCUACUUGAAUGCCAUCCCAAUUACAAGAUGCAAUAGUUUGGUGUACAAAACUCAACAACAUGAGAAUACACAAAUG